GAUUACUUAGUCCAACAGAUAUAUAUAUGCGAAUUUUGAUUUGUAAUGAGAAUUAUGGUAGUCA
rnacentral:tRNA from 1 species